rnacentral:rRNA from 1 species
CCUACGGGAGGCAGCAGUAGGGAAUAUUGCUCAAUGGGGGAAACCCUGAAGCAGCAACGCCGCGUGGAGGAUGAAGGUUUUCGGAUUGUAAACUCCUUUUGUCAGAGAAGAUAAUGACGGUAUCUAACGAAUAAGCACCGGCUAACUCCGUGCCAGCAGCCGCGGUAAUACGGAGGGUGCAAGCGUUACCCGGAAUUACUGGGCGUAAAGAGCGCGUAGGCGGGAUAGCAAGUCAGAUGUGAAAUCCUAUGGCUUAACCACGGAACUGCAUUUGAAACUGUUAUUCUGGAGUAUGGGAGGGGUAGGUGGAAUUCUUGGUGUAGGGGUAAAAUCCGUAGAGAUCAGGAGGAAUACUCAUUGCGAAGGCGACCUGCUAGAACAUAACUGACGCUGAGGCGCGAAGGCGUGGGGAGCAAACAGGAUUAGAUACCCGGGUAGUC